UACGGAGGGUGCAAGCGUUAAUCGGAUUUAUUGGGCGUAAAGGGCGCGUAGGCGGGUUUGUAAGUCAGAUGUGAAAUCCCGGGGCUCAACCUCGGAACAGCAUUUGAAACUGCAUACCUAGAGGGUAGGCGGAGAAAACGGAAUUCCACAAGUAGCGGUGAAAUGCGUAGAUAUGUGGAAGAACACCGGUGGCGAAGGCGGUUUUCUAGCUUAUUCCUGACGCUGAGGCGCGAAAGCAAGGGGAGCAAACAGG
rnacentral:rRNA from 1 species